AAUGAACGCUGGCGGCGUGCCUAAUACAUGCAAGUCGAGCGAACAGACGAGGAGCUUGCUCCUCUGACGUUAGCGGCGGACGGGUGAGUAACACGUGGAUAACCUACCUAUAUGACUGGGAUAACUUCGGGAAACCGGAGCUAAUACCGGAUAAUAUAUUGAACCGCAUGGUUCAAUAGUGAAAGACGGUUUUGCUGUCACUUAUAGAUGGAUCCGCGCCGCAUUAGCUAGUUGGUAAGGUAACGGCUUACCAAGGCAACGAUGCGUAGCUGACCUGAGAGGGUGAUCGGCCACACUGGAACUGAGACACGGUCCAGACUCCUACGGGAGGCAGCAGUAGGGAAUCUUCCGCAAUGGGCGAAAGCUUGACGGAGCAACGCCGCGUGAGUGAUGAAGGUCUUCGGAUCGUAAAACUCUGUUAUUAGGGAAGAACAAAUGUGUAAGUAACUAUGCACGUCUUGACGGUACCUAAUCAGAAAGCCACGGCUAACUACGUG
rnacentral:rRNA from 1 species